GAUGAACGCUAGCGGCAGGCUUAAUACAUGCAAGUCGAGGGGCAGCAAGAUUGUAGCAAUACAAUUGUUGACGACCGGCAAACGGGUGCGGAACACGUACACAACCUUCCUACAAGUGGGGAAUAGCCCAGAGAAAUUUGGAUUAAUACCCCGUAACAUAGCGAUGUGGCAUCACAUUGCUAUUAUAGCUUCGGCGCUUGUUGAUGGGUGUGCGGCUGAUUAGAUAGUUGGCGGGGUAACGGCCCACCAAGUCUACGAUCAGUAGCUGAUGUGAGAGCAUGAUCAGCCACACGGGCACUGAGACACGGGCCAGACUCCUACGGGAGGCAGCAGUAAGGAAUAUUGGACAAUGGACGCAAGUCUGAUCCAGCCAUGCCGCGUGAAGGAUUAAGGUCCUCUGGAUUGUAAACUUCUUUUAUAAGGGACGAAAAAAGGUCUUUCUAGAUCGUCUGACGGUACCUUAUGAAUAAGCACCGGCUAACUCCGUGCCAGCCGCCGCUGUAACAC
rnacentral:rRNA from 1 species